CAUUGUCCUAGACCAGUCACAUUUUCUCAGCCUUUUCUGUGAGCUUCUCCAACUAGCAGGGUGCCAAGAGCCAGCCCACCUGACUUCUGUCUGGUCCCUGCCUUCAGUGUGGCCACAAGGCAAGCUUGGGGCCAGGGAUAUGAGGGCAAUCUCAGUCCUCAUUCAGAGCCAUGUGCUUCUCUACAGAAAUCCAGAAGCUGGUGCUGGAAGGCCGGGUGGGUGAAGCCAUUGAGACAACCCAGCGCUUCUACCCUGGGCUGCUGGAGCACAGCCCCAACCUGCUUUUCAUGCUCAAGUGUCGACAAUUUGUGGAGAUGGUGAAUGGCACCGACAGUGAGGUCCGAAGCUUGAGCUCCCGAAGCCCCAAGUCCCAGGACAGCUACCCUGGCUCCCCCAGC
rnacentral:lncRNA from 1 species